rnacentral:rRNA from 1 species
CAGGCCUAACACAUGCAAGUCGAACGCCCCGCAAGGGGAGCGGCAGACGGGUGAGUAACACGUGGGAACGUACCCUUUGGUUCGGAACAACCCUGGGAAACUAGGGCUAAUACCGGAUACGCGCGAGAGCGGAAAGGUUUACCGCCGAAGGAUCGGCCCGCGUCUGAUUAGCUAGUUGGUGAGGUAACGGCUCACCAAGGCGACGAUCAGUAGCUGGUCUGAGAGGAUGAUCAGCCACAUUGGGACUGAGACACGGCCCAAACUCCUACGGGAGGCAGCAGUGGGGAAUAUUGGACAAUGGGCGCAAGCCUGAUCCAGCCAUGCCGCGUGAGUGAUGACGGCCCUAGGGUUGUAAAGCUCUUUUACCUGGGAAGAUAAUGACGGUACCAGGAGAAUAAGCCCCGGCUAACUUCGUGCCAGCAGCCGCGGUAAU